UUCAAAGGUUUCGGAUGAAAAUAAUUUUGUGUUAAUUAGAUGUCCAAGUCUUCGAAGUGACUUUGACAAAGCAGCCUCUCAUUCUUUUAUCUUUCUGUCUUACCAGUUGUUUCCAUUCUCUUGUCAUCACUGUUUUUAUUUCCCAGGACACUUUGGAGAUAUUAUGUCAGCACUUCUUGACCUCAGGAAGACAAGCUGGAAAAUCGUGAAUUAAGAAUGCUUUCCUACCAGGAUAGUUAUAGCUCCAAGCAAUUUUGUCAUUAUGCUCCUGAAAUCUGUCAGUGGUUGAGUACCUCGGAGUCACAAAGGUCCUGCUGUAUGUAUAUAAAGGUAAUCCUGGUGAAAUUCUGUCUGUAAAACUGAACAAUAAUAAUAACACAGAAUUGCUGCAGGUUUUUUUUCCCAUAUAGAAAGCAUUCUGUACUUUCAUAACAGUACAGAACUUCUUAGUGGGAUUUUUCUCUUUAAUAGUACUUUUUCUCUGGAUCUGUUGUAUAACACUAUAUAAUAACAUGGGAAUUUCAAACAGUGCUUCUAGUCCUUUCCUUUCCUUUCCUUUCCUUUCCUCAGGAGUAAAAAAAAACUGUUCAAAUUUCAAAUUAUCCUGUCUGGUAUUAUAUUUUUCAGAACGUUAAAAAAAAAUCAUAUGUUCUGCAUUAUGUGGCAUUUGUAAUAUUUGAAAUGUAUCAGUCAUGACAUUUGCAGUUUUUGUUUUCUUCUACUUAUUAUUUAGCUCAAUUUUAGGUAUCUAUCAAAAUAACCAAAAGAAUGUAUAAAAUGGUGCAUAAAUCCAGCAUCAGGAUAUAAUUCAACAUCAGUCCCAUUUUUUUAUCCUUCAAAAUUCAAUUAACUAGAACAUACUUAAGGCAUCCUACGAAAUGUCAGAAAAGUAGUGGCAAGCUGUACUGAAGCCAUCAAGGAGUCAGAAUGCCAUCACAAAAAGAUUUGAAGUCUUGUUGAAGUCCUUGUAAAAACAAGGAAUAAUCCCUUAACGGAAUACAUAUAAGACAUUAGGAAAUGAUCCAGUUUUCUAAACAUGGAUGAUUAGGUUUUAUGUUAACAGCUUUGCUUUCAGUUGAUGAUGGGGAAACCACCCCCUCAACUAGUCAAACGCCUUAAGUAUAAAUAGCAUCUGGCUAAGCUGGUUCAUGAAUUUAGCAUUCUGAUAUAGUUGAAUUUUCCAGAUAGUCCAUUAAUAUUUUCAAAAUCAGAUACAUUUAGAUCACAUUGCAGCAAUGAGACGUGGAGUUAUAAAAUUGUCUGCAUUAUUUCCUAAUCAGGAGUAGAGCUGGUUUAUAGAAAAAAAGAUUCUUUUUUUCUAUAGAAAGAAGAGCAAAAAUCUGACAACAGCAGAAUGUAUUCCGAAUUGGUUGACUGAGUUUACAAGCUUUUAACAGUAGUGGAAUUUAGGAAAGAAAUGGAUAAAAAGGUUAAGAACUUAUAAAAAUAAGAAACUAAAAUAUAAUUCCCAAUAGGAAAAUAAACCAAAGCAAGCAAACAUGUAGGUUGCCACAAAAAAAGUGCCCGUUAUGAAAUUAGUAAAAUGGUAGGAAUUCACUAUGUCAGUAGCAGCCAUGGGUGGGGUAAAUUUUAUUGUGGAAAGAGGAAAUAAUAAAUGUUCUACUAAAAUCAUCUAUCAUCCAUUUGCUUGGUUUUUUUAAAUAGCGACCCAGAUUUAGAUUGUGCCUAGGUGUAUUUGGUGGAAUUUGGCUUGUUUUCUGUCUUUUACACAUGUGAAAGUAGGUUUUGUGACAAAAGAGAAAUAAUUUCUCAAGGUAUCAUAGAUGAAUAUAUCUAAACUGAAGGCAGAAUGCUCAGAUAUUGUUAGCUCAGAAGGCAAUACAAUAAUCAUUAAAUAAGUUAUCCAUUUGAGUUGCAGCUUUAAAAAAUUGUCAUCUUAAUUUUCAUUUUUUUGGUUAAACUAUUUUCCUAUAAUCCAUAAUUUUCUACCUUAUAAAGGUACUUCCAUGAUACUUGCAGCAGUUUCCAUACAUUAUGUGAGUCUUUUACACUUAAUUACAUUUCAUAUUUAUUCCAUCGCUAAUGAAAAACUAAAACAGUUACUCUUAAUGUUGAUGAUUUUCAAAUGUUGGGAUUAUAGUCAUAGUCAUAUCACACUCGCAACGUAUUUUCAUCUUCAUAAAAUGAAGCACAUGUGUUAGUACCUUCAUCUAUUAUAAUCAAUAUUUUGCUUCCAAACACACGUUUCGACAUUCAGUUCCCAGAUGUUGGUAGUACAAAACUGAUCACUCUGAAUUCCAGACUCUAACAAGUGUCAGUUGAAGGAGGAUUUAGUUAAAGUAUGCAGUGUGCUAACGGAGCUGGUAGUAAUAAUGUAUGAAGUAUAAUAUAUACACACUGCGUGGUUUCCAGCUGUUUGUCUUCAGAGGCACUCUGUGUGCAAUGAAAGGGGGGAAAGAGUGUUUGGAUAACAUAGCUAAAACUGAAAGAAACCACUAGUCACUCUUCUGGAAUUAGUGUGGAGAAAUCACUUAAAUGCAAUCUGUCCUGAGUUCUGAAAACAUAAACUAAGACGCUGAGAUUGAAGUUGAAAAAUAACAAAAUACUGUAUUUCCUUGCUCUGUGCUGAAAAAAACAAAACUUUCCCUAGCUGAUAUGAAAAAAUGGCCAAACAUUUUUUUGCAAUGACAAUGGCUUAUUCCUAAAGUGAUCAACAGCUAUGCCAAUAAUGUUCUAUUAGAAAAAGAAUUAAAAAGGAGGCUUCUAAUGUUGAUUUCAAAGAUAAUUAUUUAUAUUAUUAUUUUUUGUACAGAACAGUAUUAUAUAAUAUAUGCAGGGGUUUUUUGGGGUGCAUAAUUAUAAUUAUAUCUAUAUAUGAUUUCUUUACCAAGGUCUUUUUUCAAUCUGCUACCUGAAUUGAGAUAGCAAAAAUUGAUUAUGAGAUAUCUAUUGGCCACCUCUACUGCCAAUAGCAACCAGAAAUAGGUGACUUAUUUCCCCCACUCCCCGGCCUUGUCAUCUGGUCUGGAUGCAGUAUACGUGUUUUAGGGUGCCCAUGUAUAAUUCUAUAUUGUUGGGUUUUUUAAAAAAAGAUUUUCAAAGUUGAAAACUCUUAUUAGAGAAAGAGAGAUUCAGGUGGCAACAUUAUGGAUGGAGAAAUGAGAAAUGAGCUGACAUUUACAAUUACAGUAAAAUACAGCAUCUCUUUAAUCUCAAUUCAUUAAAACAGCUGUGUUUUGAUUUUCAGGCUUAAAGAGAAGCUUAAAAAGAUUAUGAUGAUGAUGAUGAUGAUGAUCGUGAUAAUUACAAUAAUCAUUGUGAUCAUGAUGAUGAUGCUUUAAAAAAAAAUCCUGGGGUCACAUUCCCACAUUUUCCAAAUCCCUUACAAAUCAUUUUCAAAGUGUACCCAGCCCAAACUGCCUAUUGACCCUGGAAGGGAAGGAGGCAUAUAAUAUAAACCGGGUUGUUGUCUUUUCCGUGGUGUGAAGGAAAUCUAUGUAUACUCAGUAAGUGUGUCAAACUGGCGGCCUGCAGACCGGAUGCAUCAUAUGCAGGCCACGCCCACCCCAGUGCCGCGAAGGGGAAAAAUGUCACGAUACGUCAGGCGAUGGCAAUGUGAUGCUAAGAGUUUGACACCUGUGAUGUAUAGGGACAAUAAAGGAAAUUAUUUGUGUUAGAAAGCACUAGAAUCAAUAGAAAGGGCUAGAAGCCUCCUUGGAAGAACCAAAAUGUAGUGAUAGUGCUGGGUCAUCUCACAGUAAGGUGAACCCAUGCUGUUAUCAGAGUCCACAUUCCUUCUCUAAAGGAGAAUUAUAACUUGCACUCUUUUGCAAUUCCUAGGUAUCAUUUCAGAAGGGAUAUAACUUGUAGCCUGAGGAAUCCAGUGAUCGCUAUAGAAUGCCAAUAAAAUUUACUUAGUUUCAUAUAUCCCCAAAUGUGUUAAGUGGGCAUUUUCCCCACAACGGUUCACUCAACAAAAAUCUGUUAGGCUGGUACAUAGACACCACAUUUUAAAUGCCUCUAGAAACAGUAAAUGCAGCUGGUACAUAAAUACCACAUUUUAAAUGCCUCUAGAAAUUGUAAAUGCAGUGUAUGAAGAGAAAUUGGCUUGGCUGCUGCCAUAGAUGGGAAAGGACACCCUGAAGGCAUAAGAAGCUGACCUUGUAUGAUGUCUGAAACAGUAGCUUGAAUUUUGAAUACAAAGAAAUAACAGAUCAGCUGUGGCCAGAUAAAUAUCUAAGUAGAAUGCAAACAAAUGCUGACAUGACUUUUGGACAAAGCAAAAUGUUUGUCUUUCAAGACAAGAAGUUUACAUUCUGGAAUGUGGUUUAAAUUGUCCUUGUUUCUCUUCUGAGAAUUCAUCAGUAAAAAUAUAGUAAUAUAAGUGAAAAAAAUUAAAUUCAAAUUUAAAUAUGAAACAACUUUUUGUGCAUUAAGACAUAACUGCAUUAAACAAUUUAUUCAAAACAAGUGAAAUUAAAUUCCAUGAGUCUUUCUUUCAGAUAGAUAUACUACACUUUUAUAACCAAUUAAUUCACUCCUAUAUAUAUAUAUAUAUGAUAAAUUUUAAAAUAUAAAUAUGAAUUUGAUUCUGAAGUCUGAAAAGUAAAUGCUAAAUUUCAGUGUUGGCAAAAAAAAAAAAAAAAAUUAGACUCCCCACCUACCCAAACAGAAAAUCUUUUAAAAUUUCAUCUUUUUGGGGGGAGCGGGUAAUAGCUAUAAACCCAAAUAAGAGUGAAAUGGAAAUUAGCUACAAAUGCCUGGAAUCCAUUUUAUGAUUUUCCUAACUGUGUGGGACAAAUAAUGUGCUGGGACAGCUUGCCAAACUUAUAGCUCUUCAUUUUUAGGCUACACUGAAUUCAAAAUGGGAGGCUGCAAGAUCUGGAACAGCCAUAAUGACAUCAUUCUGUAACAAUAAUUUGAAAUUAUGUUUACCGAAGGAACUAAAUAAUGAAGCAAUGAAUUUUGUCUCUCUUUUCCCUCUUUUGUAAACGAUGAAGCUAACUAGGCUUUUGUUGAUUUGACAAGAGGACAUUUAUUUACUCUUUGUCUUAGAAAAAUUCUCAAGUUUUAUCUAAACUUGAAUCUUGACUGAGAGAGAAAGAAUGAUGCAUCAAAACAGGGUCAGCAAAUGUAUGAACAAUGGAGUAAAAACAGCUGUUCAGAAGGAAGCUCUAUAUGAACUUUUCUUGCUGGGGGAGUCAAUUUAGGACCUGUGAUUCAAGAAUUGGCUAUACCUGUCUAAGAAAAAUGGUUAAUGCAGUGGGAAAGAGUGUUUAAUUGAGUUGAAAAUUGGUGGAUUAAACAUAGGUCCAUCAACUGAAGAAAAGGUGAAUGUCUUAAGAGAUAUUUAGCUCACCUACUUAUAGAACAAUGACUGUAUAUUCCAUUUAACUGAUAAUGUCUUUGCUUACUUUUCUUUGUUCCUCAUUUACAGUGACAUCUUUUGAAAUAUCAUUAGCAAUCAGCAAAAAAAUGCUGCCAAGACCUUGCUCCUGUUCCUUGGUAUAUAUAAUGUGAGGUACAUUUCAGAUGUAGACAAAUAUAUAAAUUAGGUUUGGAAUUAUUUUUAAUUCCUGAAAUAUGCAAUGUUUUGGUUAAUGAGUUAAUAAUGUUUGUUCCUUUGUUGCUUCUUCCACAGCAGUAACAGCUAUGUUCUUUAAUUACUUCUUUUUCUUUGUUUCUUUUCUUUUUUCUUUUUUUACAAAAAAGGUAUUAUAAUGUUCUCCCUUGGUUUCCAGUAUGGAUAUAAUAUUUUCACACACAUUUCUAAUCAGCAGGAGUUCUUUUAGCAUACUGAAAACAUUCACUUGCUUUGGAUUUAAAAUGUCAUGUUCUCCACAUGAUCACUGUUUUUAAUGUUUUACUGUAUAUACCCUAAUAAUUUUUCAUUACUUAUACAUACAAAAUCACUUUAAAUCAUAUAAUAGACAGACUAAUAUCGUACUAUAUGCCACUGGGAGAUACCUGAUGUGCAAGGCAAUAUAUAUAAAAUAAAGUAGUACGCAUUCUUGCAGAGAACAGAAACAACAAAAAGAACAAAAACAUGUUUCUGAGCUCUUUACUGGUUUAGUACAGUCUCCUUAAUUCCGUUCAAUUCUUGAAUUGGCAACCAUUUUGAGUUGGCAUCAGUUGUGGGUUGCUCCCGGUUCGCUCCGGUUCUGUAGAGCUGGUAGUAAAAAUCUGCUGGUGUUCGGCGAAUCGGUAAUAAUGGCUGGCUGGCCAUGCCCCCGAACCGGUUCCCUAAUCAUCAGCGUUUUUUUUUCUUUUAAAAGAAUCUUUUCUUCAGCCAAAAAAAGGCUUUUAAAAGUAAAAAAAAAACCCUCUGAUGAUCACGUGGCUGAGGUUAAGAGGUUUUUAAAAAGGUUUUAAAACCUUUUAAGUUGUUAGGCAACUUCAGCUGGAUCGUCAGAGGAGCCUUUUAAUUUUUUUUUUUUUUGCUCUGGCCCACCCAAUCCCCCCUCCUCACUUACCUCAUUACAGCUUCUUUCGGGCUGGCAAAGCCAUGCUUUACAUCAGUUGCAUCAGCUAGCAACUGAAUCUGCCUGCCUGGAAUCCAUCUCCUCAGUCAGCAACUGCUUUGCUGGCUGAGGAACUCUGGGAAUUGAAGUCCACAAACCUUAAAGUUACUAAGGUUGGAGACUCCUGAUCUAAAAAAUAUAAAUAAAAUAAAAUAAUAAAAUAAAAUAUUUGUGCAGCUUUCUGAGAUUUGGUGUGUUUCUGUAGUGUUUCACUCUAACUACACAAACACACAAAAUCUCACAAAGCUGUAUGUGGCAUUUUGUGUGUGUGUGAGAGAGAGAGUCAGUUGUGUUGUCUUGUGUGUGUGUGUAAAAUGUGAACGUUGGUUUUUGAGCUUUUUGUGGAUGUGUGAGGUUCUUGCUUGUUGCAGGGGCCAUUUUGGGUGAAGUGCAGCUGUGUUUAAAUUGUGUGUGAGUCUGUUGUGUUAUAUUGUGUGUGUGUGUGUAUGUCCCUUCACGAGGACUUGGAGGUAGCUCCUCUGAGGAAAAGAAGAGGCGGUGAAGCUCUGGCUGUCCCUGGAAGAAAUCGCUGUCUCUGCAGCAUUGGUCAUGUGACUGAGUUGGCAUCGCCAACUUGAUAUCACUCACAGCAAGGUGCCGCCCCACCUUGCCCUGAGUGACUUCAAGUUGGCCACGCCCACUCAGUCACAUGACCACCAAGCCAUGACCACCAAAUAAGCAACACCCACCCUGGUUGGCAUGUCUGGGCUAAAUCUUCUCCACUUCACUAUUUUGGAGUGUUCUGCAACAAUUCCCAUGUUCAAAAAAAAAAAAAGAGUAUUUCAAAGAGCUUGAUGAGUGCUUGUUGAGGAUUUAGCAUUUAUCUUCAUUUGUAUGCCAUACUAUUAUAAUAAAUAAUGGUCAGAAAUCUGUUAUGAAAGUAACUCUAAACUAUCAGAUAAAUACUGUUUAGUUCUCUAAACAAUAAUACGAACAAGAACAUGUGUCUGAAAUAAGUGGUGUUUAAAUACUUUUUCUUCCACAAAGCCCUAUCAGUAUGAAAUAUGUCAUCAGUCAUUUAUAGUAAUAGCAGAUUUAUCAUUAAACUUGUUCCUUUUCACGUUGUAGAUUUAUAUUAAAAGUUCACUGAGACUUGGCUUGAAAAUAGAGAUAACAUUUGCAAAUCAUGUUCAGCUGUUAAUUUACUACUGAGAUUUUUGUAUUCACAAACUUAAUAACAGCUGGACCUUGGCAACUAGUGAGCCUCAACCAAAUGCCCUGGAAAUUAAUGGAUUCUUUCUUUGAUUUCACAAAUCAAGGUUUCUGCGGAUGUUCAAACCAAUGUCGUUGAUUCAUUUCAUGGGAGACUGUAGAAAUUGUAUGAAAAUAAAGUGGAAAUUUUAUGAUUCGGCUUGUCACCAGGACUUCAGAGUAACCCCAUUUUUCAAAUCCAUAUUGAACAGCAAGUGUGGGAGUGCUGUUGCUGUGAAUUUCCUGUUGAAAAGUGUCAUGAGUGGGAAUGAUGUACUUUGUAAGAUCUUUUCAUGAUUUUGCCGCAUAGUCUGUGUGAUUAUAAAAAAAAGAAAACA